UGGAGUUCUGAGGAGAUGACAUCUCAGCCAGAACCAGGUGACAGAAAAAAUCAAAGUGGGAAAGCCACUGCUCGCCUUCUGUAGGACGCCCCACACCAGAUCCUCUGUGGGAUGUCCUCCAAGUCCACCCAGAUGGGAAUCAUCAGGCACAGUGCAUGGCUGGCUCAAGUAGCACACCAUUUCCCACAGGCCCUGAAGCUGGACAAGAAGGCAAGAGCCUGGCGCUGUCUCCUGGAGAAGGCUGAGAGGACCACCCCUUCUCUUACCUCAUCAUAAGUACAGAGAAGUCACCUGGGGCCCAGGGUCUCCACAGAGCUGAGAAGAGCUUUCGCAGCCAGAGCUCCGGACUCACCCAACACUGACGGUGCCAGCAGGGACAGCAGCCAGGGUCCCAGCACUGGGUUCAUCCCCCUCCUUGCGUGGCCUUUGCUCCUGUUAGGGGGUGAACUGUGUACCCUUAAAGCUCACAUGCCACAGUCUUAACCUUCAGCCUGUUAAAGAUAGAAGAAGCAGUGGGGAGGCCACCCAAGAGGAAGACAUGGCCCUAAUCCCAUGACUUCUGUCCUUGUAACAAGACACCAAGUAAAGAAAAAGAGGAUGUACAACGGAAAGAUUAAAAAAAAAAAAAAAGAUGGAAAAAUGCCAUCCGCAUGCCAAGGGACAUCAUCAAUCAUUAGAAAAGCCUAAGGGACCUCGAUGGGCCAAUCCUUUGAAACAGGGUCCAUCCCUCUCACUGCCACAAACUGAGACAUUACUUAUGGUGUGGGUGCUGCUCCAUCUGCAGGACUAGACAUCUCCCAUGAUGAAUUUCCCAACCAUCACUCAUUUUCCCAGGCUAGGUGAAGUCAGUCAUGCCUAACUCCAUCCCUCCCCACACCUGCUGCUAAGAAGGUAGCACAGGAGGAGGAGAUGUAGAAAGCGGCGUGGGUGGGAACAGAGGUUGUCCACAGAGGAAGGUUGUGGGCUGGAGCCCAGGCACUAGGCAUCUCUGGGAAGCAAGGACAGCCCCAGAAGUCUUGAGGCUCAGCAGUGAAACAGGCAGGGUCUCGAGGAAACGGGGGUUCAGCAAAGCAAACGUGAAACAUCUAGGCUCCUUUCCUACUCUGAGUAGUGCAGAAGCUAGCUGCUGUCCCUAGAGUUAGCCCAGAGAAUGGAGAACAGACACUAGACUCUGGUCUGCAGGUGACCAGAGGCCAGCAGACCUUUGUCCCAGUAGGUCUCUCAGUGGUCAGACACCCUCCAGAUUCCCUUACCCCCACAUGGUCCUGGCAUUAAGCCACCAGUGCUAAGAGAGUCCAGCUUCCACUUUUCUUGGUUCAGCCCAGUCUUGUGACAGUACAUGGGGUGACUCAGCCAGCUUUGCAGAAUAGUACAGUCUUUCCAAGGGGUGUUGCCACUUUGCAGUUGGGAGACACAUCCAAGUUCACAAAAACAUCCUGUUUCUGAACUUGGCUCAUGGGACUGAAAGCAGAGAGGACUGAAAGCAGAUCUCUGAGCAGCCUGGAGUGCUGGGAGGAGUAAGGGUCAGCUAGAGGGCAGGGAGAAAAAGUGACCACGGGGUCAUGUUUAAUUAAGGGGUAUGUAUAGAAGCUAAAGGAUAGGUGUGAAGAGGGGGCACUGGAAAAGGGGCUCACAUGUCCCCUGCAAGAGCAUAUAAAAAAAAAAAAAAAACAGAGCUGGGACUACUCAGAGGUCAGCAAAGCCACACUGCCACACGGGUCUGUGUUGGGGACAGGAGCUGAUACUAGGUUCAGUGGGCUUUCCUAGAGGGCACAGAACGACAGAGCUGGUUCCCAAAGGCUGCUUACUGUUUACAUGCCAGGAAGGAGGUCAGGUUUUGCAAUCUUGCCUGAAAACACAAGCUCUCAGGUAAACAUGUGCUUAUGACACUGACCCCAGAGGGAAGUUGCUGCGCUGAUACGGUCACUCCCUUUUCCCUGUAUGUCAAAGUGCCAGUUUGCAGCAGCUGGAAGAAGAUGCUGAUGGCAUUUGAGACAAGAGGACAUAACAGAGCUGGGACAUCGAAGCCUGCCGCAGGGUCGGAAUUAAGUUUUUCUUCAUUAAUAAUAUCCUAAUUUGCAUGAUUAAUAUGUCAUGAUCCACGAACACAGGCAACUAACAGAACAAUUUCUGAACAAAAAUGCCACCUGUUGAGCCAAGAGAAUAAGACAAACAGAAGGUAAAUGCGCUUACGUGAAGGAGAGACCAGUUCCCCCCAAAUAUCAACAUCAUCAAAACAGCUAUUUGAAGAAUGCAGAAAGGAGCAUGCCCAAAGGCUCAUUGGGAGGAAGAGCCCUGGUGUGCCUGCUACUCUUACACUGCCAUUGGACAAAUCUGAAAAUUCCAGACAAAGCUGAUGAUGGCCUGCUGGCUGAGCUCCUUGCCUGGUUUCUCCAGCUGGCCCCAGGCCAAGAGGCGGGGUGUUCCAGGCCACAGUGGUGCCACCCUAUCAGCCCAGAUCCACCUCUUUCUGUGGCUGCAAACCUCAGCUAUUUUUGGCCUGCCAGCCUGUGUCAGGAACUGGAACAGGGUGAUGAGCGUGGAGGGAAAACACCUGUGGGGUGUCUUCAGCUGUGUGAUACAGACCACUGGUGAUGUUGGAAACUUCCUGGGAGCCAUAUCUGGACACAGGGUCCCUUGGAGUCUAUACUGCAUUCCUUGACUUAAACAUCUGAAAACUCAGUUGUCUGCUCUGCCUAUGGUCACCUUGUUCCAAACCUUCACUCUGAAUUGCGAAUGCAAGCUAAAACAGGUCCAAUGGCACUAGGAGAUAUGACGUAGAUGUCAUAUGAGACCACCAUCAUGUGUGCUGUCUGUCAACCAUUCUGUUGCUAGCUGGCACAUAGAUGUAUCAUAUCACAUAGCAGAAGUGUGCUCAGAAAGCAUGAUUGAGGUAACACACACACAUGCAUGCACAUACGUACACAGAUGAACACACACAUCCAUACAGUCAUUAGCGUAUGUUCAUUAGCUAACUAUAGUAAUCACUUCACUGUAUAUAUGUAUAU